CUUCCUCACUUGCCCUCUGUUUUAGGAUCCUGAAUCUGGUGACCGGCCAAGGAGAGACAUGGGCGAGCACACUUGGGUCAGUGGCUCUGUUGUAGAGUGUGUCUGGGGUGGCCAUCGCGAAGACCUGAGGAGCAGAGGAUGACAUCAACACUGUUGUUGCCAGGACCAUGACAAGGCAUGCUGUACAAGUCCACAGGAUCCUGAAUCUGGUGACCGGCCAAGGAGAGACAUGGGCGAGCACACUUGGGUCAG